rnacentral:rRNA from 1 species
UAACGCGUGGGUAACCUGCCUCACACAGGGGGAUAGCAGUUGGAAACGGCUGCUAAUACCGCAUAAGCGCACAGUACCGCAUGGUACAGUGUGAAAAACUCCGGUGGUGUGAGAUGGACCCGCGUCUGAUUAGCUAGUUGGCAGGGCAACGGCCUACCAAGGCGACGAUCAGUAGCCGACCUGAGAGGGUGACCGGCCACAUUGGGACUGAGACACGGCCCAA